UUUUUUUUUUUUUUUUUUUUUUUUCAGGAAGGAAGCAUUCCAAACAACUCUUCAAAGAUAUUAUGGAGUUAAUUAUAGAGGCAAUUUAAAUAACAUCUGUAGACUCCAAGCUUGAUAGUCAAGAUUGUUUGCCUUGCACACUCUGGGGGGAGACAAAAAGCAAGAAAAAUAUUUCUAGAAGGUUUCUAUCAUAUUUCCCAAGCACUUGGUUUCAUACUGACUGUUAUAAAUAGAAUCAACUGAGCAUGUGAAUGUGGCUUUGAGAACCAAGAAUACAGAUCUGACAAUCAAAAUCCCCCCAGCUGAGUAGUGAGAGACUCUACACUUAAAAGUAGCCAUUUUUGCUUUGGGGGUAGAAGAACUGUUUACUUCCGACACAAAGCUUGCAAGAUAUUUAAAAUAAAUAAAUGAAACAGAGCCAACUCAGACCAAGGCUCAAUUCAAAUCCUGUCUACUCAGUUUCAAAGUAAUACCUGCCUUUAAUAAUUAAGGCCUCAAAUUUAAAUAAAUUUAAAAGCAAAUAUUUGGGAAACAAAGUUUCAGAAACUCAGGACGGUUUUAUUAGCUUACCUCUUAUACCCGGGUUCAAAUUGUAUUCCCAGCACCUGGACACAGCAAAGAGUUUACUUAAGAACAGGGCCAAAAAACAAAAACAAAACAACAACAAAAAAAUGAUAGCUAAAAAAAAAAAUCACAGGACUUUGUUUCGUUAGUAACUUAUUGCAAUAUCAUUAUAAAUUUUGCCUGUGGGUAAUAGUCUUGGUUUUUAAAAAGAAUGAUCAGUUCAACGGAUUAAACAAGGUCACCGGGCUCUUGGCUUAGAUGGAGGAGAAGUUUGUUCUCUUCCCACGUGAUAGAGAAAAAUAUUAAGAGAGGACAACUUUUGAAAAUCAUAAACCAAAUAAAAAUUUUGCAAAGUAAACUUAUAAGUUGAAUUUACAAGUCCCAGUGCUUGAAGUGACUUUGAAUUUAAAAAAAAAAAAAAAAAAGCAAAACGUUUUGUAACAUAAAAGUUCUUGAGAGAAAUGUGUUUUCCCAAGUAACUCACAAAGUCGGUUUAUUAUAUUAUUGUAACAUAUGCAAAGCCCUGGGUUCAAGCCCUAGAACGAUGCAAGUAAAUCCGGAAAAUAAACAUACAGUUGCUUUGGCUAACAAGUAGUGCAUAGUAAGUCACCUCCCAAAACUCAACAACCUAACAUUUAGACCAACGCAUCCUGUCUUGUAAUUCAGUAGGAUGAGGAGGCUGGGGGAUGGGGACUCUGGGUGGUGCCCUACUGACUGGCAUAACCAAAGUGACUGGCUAAUGUGUUUGGGACCUUGGCAAGAGCUUACUGGAAGGCUAGCCUGAGAUCCUUGAGCCUGCUACCUGCCCCCUCCACGUGGCCUCGGGUCCCUCUCUACCUAGCCUCCCUAUAUGACCUCUCUAACCAGGUAUCCAGGUUUCUAAAAUGAUGACCCAGGGCUCCCAAAAACAUGACGUGGAAGCUGACAGGCUUCUUAUGGCUUAGCCUAGAAUCUGCACAGCGUCUGUCACCUCUACCAUAGCCAAUUGGUCACAGCAAGACUCAGGACAGCCUGAUUCAACCUUGAAUCACGGAUGUGAACUUGGGGGAGGUGUGGCUCACUAGGGACCAUCUUAGGAAUCUAACACACAGUUUAUCUGCCAGCUCCCCAACGAGAAUUCAAAAAACUAGUGGUCCCGGUAGCCUUAUCUUGUUUACAAAAGUCUUUAUAUCCUGAUCUGCAGGACUAUGUGUAAAAGUGAAACAUGGUGGUGAACACUGUGAUCCCAGCAGUGAGAUCCGGAGACCGGCACAUAGAUCCCUGGGGCUCACUGGCCAGCCAUCCCAGCAGUGAGAUCCGGAGACCGGCACAUAGAUCCCUGGGGCUCACUGGCCAGCCAUUCUAGCCUAGUCAGCCAGCCGGGGUCCCAGUGAGAGACCAUGUCUAAAAAAAAAUGAAAAAGAAAAUCAAAGCUCCUGAGAAACUACACCUGAGGCUGACUCCAGCAUGUAAUAUACACAGGCUAUACUACACACAAAAAUACACCGGCAUGGACACACACAUACACACCUUCACGGACACACAAACACACACACACACACAAAAUCAUUUUUAUUAUCCCAAAUAUCCAAACUGAAGAUUCCUUCUUAAAAACAUCAUCUUGAAAAAAGUAAAAGGGUUUCUGUAGCACAGAACUUCAUUUAAGAACACCGACAGCCGGGCGUGGCGGCCACGCCUUUAAUCCCAGCACUUGGGAGGCAGAGGCAGGCGGAUUUCUGAGUUCGAGGCCAGCCUGGUCUACAGAGUGAGUUCCAGGACAGCCAGGGCUACACAGAGAAACCCUGUCUCGAAAAAGAAACCAGAAAAAACAAACAAACAAACAAACACCGAUGGCUACGACAACUUAAGUUUCCAGUUCACUAGUCUAGUAAUCAUGUUUUUUAGCAGUGUCUGCUCCUAGUCCAUACAUCCAGAAUUGAUGUGCAUCUGCCUCUAUGAAGCAGCCUACAAAACAUGUGGAAAAUAAUCACUAAAUUUCAAAUGAUCUUUCUUAUUAACACAUUC
rnacentral:lncRNA from 1 species